AAUUCGAUGCAAAGCGAAGAACCUUACCAGGGCUUGACAUGUCGUGAAUCCUCCCGAAAGAGAGGAGUGCCUUCGGGAACGUGGACACAGGUGGUGCAUGGCUGUCGUCAGCAAACGAAUCAAGUGGUACCCAAAAGGUAU
rnacentral:ncRNA from 1 species